AUAAAAUCAACUAUGCAGAAUAACACAAAUAUAUCCACAGACUCACACAUAGACAACAUGUAUCCGCCAUUAUUACCUACAUAACAAACCCCUCCACACUCAACACCACUAAAACUGUCAGAUCUACUCUCACACAAACCCUAAAAUCCAUCUACAGACCCCGAUCCACACAAUGCUAAACAAAAUAACAUAAAUCCAACCAGAAACGAAUAGAUCUGCAUGGGAUCUCUUACUGGCGGAGAGAUCCGAGGAAGGCGGCGGCGGAGACGAAGACGGCGGCGGCGAUGGGGGCGGAGAGCGCGGCUGCGCCGGAAGUGGGGCUGGGGGCGGGGGCGUCGGCAGCGAAGGCGACGCCGGCGAGGGAGGCGACGGCGACGGCGACGGUGGCCGUCAGGAGCACUGCGAGGGCUUUGGAUCCGAAUGCCAUUGCGAUCCGCUUUCUCUCUCGCUCCGAAUUGGAAUUCUGUGGAGAGAGAG
rnacentral:misc_RNA from 1 species